CCAAUCCUUUCUCAAUUAAUUUUUUCCACAGGUAGACGAAACGUAGAUUUUUAAUAGUGAACAGUCAGGCGAACUGACCCUUGCGUGACUAUAGAGGUUUUAAGUUUUCAGGGACAGAUAUUCACAAAAACCGCUAAAAUAAAACGAAAACUGACUGUUUCGAUGAUUUAAGCUCCACCUGAGGCGAAAAAGUAUGGAGAAAAAGUAAGAAAAAUGUUUAUAGAACUGCUUUUCGUUUUAGACGUCGACCCAGGAGUCGUUUUUCAUGCUGUUGACGUCACACUUCAAGCUUUACUUCCACCUUCGUCUCCAUAAGAGACAAAGGUGUACGUAUUCCGUCCUAACGAGCUUUAUCUUACAAACAUGGCUAAGUUAAUCGUAGAUGUUGUUGUCGGCGGUGGAAUAAGUGGUCUUUGCUCUGCAAAACUUCUGACGGAGUACGGACUCGACGUUCUCGUCCUUGAAGCUCGUGAUCGCGUUGGUGGUAGGACACAGACCAUAGAAGAUCCAGCAUUCAAGUAUAUCGACUUAGGUGGAUCAUACGUCGGUCCAGACCAACACAGGAUUCUUCAUGUUGCUGAAGAACUAGGAGUAGAGACGUAUCCAGUGCAAUGUAAAGGCAAAACUAUAGAUCACUUAUACGCUAAGGCUCACGAGCACGAUGGCUCUUUCUCAACGUGGAAUCCCCUUGCAAUCAUUGAUUACUUGAAUGUGGCAUAUACUCUCGAUAAGAUGUGUGAUACUAUCCCUCUUGAACAACCUUGGGAAGCUCCUCAGGCAAUAGAAUGGGAUCACAUGACUGCCGAAGAGUUUUUCAACAAGGUUUGCUGGACAAGCUACUGUAAGAAACGUAUGGUACAGAAUACACAUCAUGCCAUGGCAGUUGAACUUUGGGAAAUUUCUCUCUUGCAUUAUCUCUGGUACCGUAAGUCUGGAAAUGGGGUUCUAAAACAUUCUAGUGCUGAUGAUGCGGAAGAGGAGAAACAGUUCGUUGGUGGAGCUCAACAGAUUAGCAACAAACUGAAGAAAAGACUUGGAGAUAAGGUUAUUGUAAACAGUCCGGUGCUGCAAGUUAACCAAGAAAAGGACCACGUGAUAGUAACAUGUAAAAAUAGAAACAGCUAUCAAUCAAAAUACGUCAUCAGCGCUAUUCCCCAGGCCUUGCUCAAUAAGGUCUCCUUUGUACCGCCCCUCUCUCCUUUGAAGAAUCAACUCAUUCAACGAUUUCCUAUGGGAUCAUCGAUCAAGACAUUUGCAUUUUAUGAAACAGCUUUUUGGAAAUCGAAAGGCUUGAAUGGUGUGAUUUUGUCCGAUUUUGGGCCAAUUCACACAAGUAUGGAUGACACUAAACCAGGAGCCAAUCUUCCAGUCAUAAUGGGCAUUAUCACUGGAGAUCAAGCUCGCUACUUUUGCAACAAGACACAAAAAGAACGAAAGCAAGCCGUAUGUGAACAGCAUGCCAAGGUGUUCGGCUGUAAAGAGGCUCUCAAUCCAGUCCACUAUGUUGACAAAGACUGGCUUGGUGAUGAAUACUCGGGUGGUUGUUAUGUUGGUAUCAUGCCGUGUGGGGUAAUGACUAAAUAUGGUAAAGCAUUAAGAUGCCCAAUAGGGAGACUUCAUUUUGCAGGCACUGAAACAGCAACAAUAUCAGCAGGUUACAUGGAUGGUGCAGUCCGAGCAGGCGAACGAGCUGCAAGAGAGAUACUUUCUAAAUUGAGAAAGAUAGCUGAAGAAGACGUGCGUGACGUAAAGGAUGUACUUACUCCACGCCACGUGACUAUGGCUCAGCGAUGCCUGCCUACUGUGCCAGCGUUCUUGGUUGGUAGUGCAGCAGUAUUUGUGUUAGGAGGAUAUCUGUCCUUCAGGUAUGGGGUUAACCACACCAUGGGACCUCCAUCGUACUUUUGAACACCUCGUCCUCACCCUCUCCCCCUAUAAAUAGAUUAAGGGCGCAGUCACCCAAAUGUUUGGGUAAUUUUUUUAGUAUUUUUAAUUUUCAUCUUUAUAAGAUAUAACACACCAAGAAAAAUAUUCAUCGAGUAUUUUCUCUGUUCUUAUUUAAAAAAACCGUAGCUUUUACAUGGUCCGACACAAAUACACCUCUUUACCCAGCUUCCUCCGCAGCCGUCUCUUUUCUCUCUUCCUAUACUGGGCUUCUUGUGUUAGCUGAGCGUCGACCGAAUGGGACUAGUACCCAAGAGAGGAAGAGAGAGAAGACGUUUGUCAAAACACAAAGCUAUUGGAUUUCGCACUUCGCCCCUGUUUUAUAAGCCAUUACGAGGUCGAGUUGACAUUGCAAUGCUUUUCUGGGCUCUUUUCAGGGACGAAUUAGACGUCUUCUUUGAAAUAUCUAUGCACUGCAUGUAAGGCCAGCUCGACCAAGUUUUUUCUCAACCAAAACCUAAUAAUAUGUCCUUAACUAAAAGAUAUUUUCUUGUGUUUUAACCUCAAAACAUCACUCAAUAUUAUGCUACUGGCAAAAUCCUUUUUUUUUCUUUUCAUAUUUUGUAGUUUACUUUAAGCGGUAAUUCACGGAUUACUACAUGAUAGCUUAUCAAAUAUUACAAUUCUUGCUCUUUGAUUGGUAUUAUGGUCAGUGUGGAAUCUAUAGUCGCAUUCUCGCACGUUAACCUCACAUCAAUAGGAAAUCUUCUAAUAUCCAUCCAAUAAGGCACAACCACGUUUCUAAAGAAGACGAAUGUUAUAGCUUAUGCAUGAUAGAAGCGGGUUCCCUGUGGAAGAGAGAAAAGGAGCUCGUGGGAAUGGGGCAGAGUUGAUAUAGGGAAGAGUAGACAAGUUGUUGUUCUUAAAAAAUGAAUACGGAAUUCGAAUGAUUUUAUCUUCAGGACAGCACAUAUGUCGAAUCGUGAAAACCUGAAAUCGUGAAAACCUGAAAUCGUGAAAACCUGAACUCGUGAAAUUAAUCCUGYARCGUGGAAUUGUGAAAUCAUUGACUGACUGAACUCUGAAUAAACUGAUAAUCUAGAA